UACGUAGGGGGCAAGCGUGGUCCGGAAUCAUUGGGCGUAAAGAGCGUGUAGGCGGCCAGAAAAGUCCGCUGUGAAAACUCGAGGCUCAACUUCGAGCUGUCGGUGGAAACUUUCUGGCUAGAGUCCGGAAGAGGAGAAUGGAAUUCCUGGUGUAGCGGUGAAAUGCGCAGAUAUCAGGAAGAACACCCGUGGCGAAGGCGGUUCUCUGGGACGGUACUGACGCUGAGACGCGAAAGCGUGGGGAGCGAACAGG
rnacentral:rRNA from 1 species